AACGAACGCUGGCGGCGCGCCUAAUACAUGCAAGUCGAGCGAGAAGACGUAGCAAUACGUUUGUAAAGCGGCGAACGGGUGAGGAAUACAUGGGUAACCUACCCUCGAGUGGGGAAUAACUAGCCGAAAGGUUAGCUAAUACCGCGUACGCUCCUUGGACUUCGGUUCAGGGAGGAAAGCGAUACCGUGGGUAUCGCGCUCUUGGAUGGGCUCAUGUCCUAUCAGCUUGUUGGUGAGGAACGGCUCACCAAGGCUUCGACGGGUAGCUGGUCUGAGAGGACGAUCAGCCACACUGGCACUGCGACACGGGCCAGACUCCUACGGGAGCAGCAGUAAGGAAUAUUGCGCAAUGGGCGAAAGCCUGACGCAGCGACGCCGCGUGGGGGAUGAAGGUCUCGGAUUGUAAACCCCUUUCGGGAGGGAAGAUGGAACGAGCAAUCGUUCGGACGGUACCUCCAG
rnacentral:rRNA from 1 species